GGCCGCCUUGGUCAAUUGGAUAGAGCACCUGACUACGGAUCAGGAGGUUGCAGGUUCGAGUCCUGCAGUGGUCG
rnacentral:tRNA from 1 species